rnacentral:rRNA from 1 species
UACGUAGGGGGCGAGCGUUGUCCGGAGUUACUGGGCGUAAAGCGCACGUAGGCGGCUUUGUAAGUUAGAGGUGAAAGCCCGGGGCUCAACUCCGGAAUUGCCUUUAAGACUGCAUCGCUCGAAUUGUGGAGAGGUAAGUGGAAUUCCGAGUGUAGAGGUGAAAUUCGUAGAUAUUCGGAAGAACACCAGUGGCGAAGGCGACUUACUGGACACAUAUUGACGCUGAGGUGCGAAAGCCAGGGGAGCGAACGGG